rnacentral:rRNA from 2 species
AACGCUAGCUACAGGCUUAACACAUGCAAGUCGAGGGGCAGCAUGAUUGAAGCUUGCUUCAAUUGAUGGCGACCGGCGCACGGGUGAGUAACACGUAUCCAACCUUCCGUACACUCAGGGAUAGCCUUUCGAAAGAAAGAUUAAUACCUGAUGGUAUCUUAAGCACACAUGUAAUUAAGAUUAAAGAUUUAUCGGUGUACGAUGGGGAUGCGUUCCAUUAGGUAGUAGGCGGGGUAACGGCCCACCUAGCCUACGAUGGAUAGGGGUUCUGAGAGGAAGGUCCCCCACAUUGGAACUGAGACACGGUCCAAACUCCUACGGGAGGCAGCAGUGAGGAAUAUUGGUCAAUGGACGAGAGUCUGAACCAGCCAAGUAGCGUGAAGGAUGAAGGUCCUACGGAUUGUAAACUUCUUUUAUAAGGGAAUAAAACCUCCCACGUGUGGGAGCUUGUAUGUACCUUAUGAAUAAGCAUCGGCUAACUCCGUGCCAGCAGCCGCGGUAAUACGGAGGAUGCGAGCGUUAUCCGGAUUUAUUGGGUUUAAAGGGAGCGCAGACGGGUCGUUAAGUCAGCUGUGAAAGUUUGGGGCUCAACCUUAAAAUUGCAGUUGAUACUGGCGUCCUUGAGUGCGGUUGAGGUGUGCGGAAUUCGUGGUGUAGCGGUGAAAUGCUUAGAUAUCACGAAGAACUCCGAUUG